rnacentral:tRNA from 1 species
GAGAGUUAGUUUAACCUAAAACACUUGAUUUCGACUCAAAAAAUCUUGGUUUAAUUCCAAGCCUCUCA